GCGUUGCUUCGGAAUGACUGGGCGUAAAGGGCGUGUAGGCGGUUUGUACAGUCAGAUGUGAAAUCCCCGGGCUUAACCUGGGAGCUGCAUUUGAGACGUGCAGACUAGAGUGUGAGAGAGGGUUGUGGAAUUCCCAGUGUAGAGGUGAAAUUCGUAGAUAUUGGGAAGAACACCGGUGGCGAAGGCGGCAACCUGGCUCAUUACUGACGCUGAGGCUCGAAAGCGUGGGGAGC
rnacentral:rRNA from 1 species